AUGGCAGGGGGCAGGAGCAGGACACUGGGAAGAGCAACAGUGCUUCAAGUGCUGGGGCUGUUGCCAGCAGGAACACAGCAUUUGCUGAAAAAGAAAGGAAAUGGAGCGCUUCUGCAAUGACCACCACCACAUCAGUAAGCCUGCCAGUUCCAUAAGAAGGUCAUUCAAAUUCAGAUUCAAGCAAGCCCAACCCUGUAAGCUCAGGAUGAAUAACAAUAGAAAAAGUUGACUGAGCUCUGUGUGGCUCAGCUGUUUCUUCUGCCAAUAAACAGUUCCAACUGCCUCCAGAUUUGUUGAAGUUGGCAACAUCCAGCCAUGGUGAGCACACAACUGAGGAGAAGACUGAACCAGCCAGCCUGGCAGUAUUAUUACUGAGUGCUGAUAGGAAAUCCUUCUUUCUUCCUGGCAAAGGCCUAACAAUGAUGAGUUACUGCCAGACAACAGCCUUUCAUCCGUUUUUGGAGGAAUAGACAACAGCUCACCUUUGUCUGACUGCUCUGUUUUCUGGCAAGGGAAGACAAUUUAUGGAGGUUGCGACAAUGGAAAGUUCAAAGAGCAGUUUUUCUUCAGCUGGAGAAGAAUGUCUCCUUCAUAAUAUGGCACCCGUACAUCAAUUAAAUGGCUCAGAGGGGACUAAGUGCUGAGGUGAGAAACUGAAUUUCCAUUCUAAGGAUGGAUCAUCUUGGAGAGAAUUGAGGGUUUUUUUGCCCUGUAUUCUCUGCAUAAACAUACUAAGUGAUGAUUGCUUAGAGACGGUGUG